rnacentral:other from 1 species
UUCGGCACCCUAGAUUUAUCUAUUUUUGGAUAAAUUUUAUUUAUUAUUUUUGGAGAUUACUCAUGGCUACAGGUCGCGUAAAAUGGUUCGACGAGCAAAAAGGUUUUGGUUUCAUCGAGCGUCCAGACGGUAAAGAUGUAUUCGUACACUUCCGUGCUAUUCAAAGCGAAGGUUACAAAACUUUAGCUGAAGGCCAAGAAGUUACUUUUGAAGUAGAAGAAGGUCCAAAAGGUCCUCAAGCUGCUAACGUAAAAGUUGCUUAAUCUGGCUUUUAAGGCAUAAGUCUCCAAUUAGUCUUCAGAUUAAUUAGACA